rnacentral:rRNA from 1 species
ACCGCGAGGGAAAGAUGAAAAGAGCCCCUUUGAGGGGAGUGAAAUAGAACAUGAAACCGUAUACUUACAAUUGGUAGGAGGAUGAACACAUCUGACUGCAUGCCUGUUGAAGAAUGAUCUGGCGACUUACGGUAAGUGGCAUGGUUAAGAUUUUUCAUCGAAGCCAAAGCGAAAGCAUGUCUGAAUAGGGCACUCGUCCCUUAUCGUAGACCCGAACCCAGGUUAUCUAACCAUGACCAGAAUGAAG